rnacentral:rRNA from 1 species
AACGAACGCUAGCGGCGUGCCUAACACAUGCAAGUCGGACGAGAAAGUCCCCUUCGGGGGAUGAGUAAAGUGGCGCACGGGUGCGUAACACGUGGGUAAUCUGCCCUUGGGUCUGGGAUAACACUUCGAAAGAGGUACUAAUACCAGAUAAGACCACGUCUCCUUUGGGGGACGAGGUAAAAGGUGGCCUCUCUAUAGACGCUAUCGCCCCUGGAUGAGCCCGCGGCCCAUCAGCUAGUUGGUGAGGUAACGGCCCACCAAGGCUAAGACGGGUAGCUGGUCUGAGAGGAUGUCCAGCCACACUGGAACUGAGACACGGUCCAGACUCCUACGGGAGGCAG